rnacentral:lncRNA from 1 species
ACGGGCCACCCCUCGUCUUGGCCCUGGGCUAGCGGGUCCGCCUGAGUCCGGCCUCUGGCUCGGAGUGUGUGUCACAGGGUCGGGAAAUGAGAGUGACUCAGAAAAGUGCCUUAAGCAAAGGAGAGGACAAAAAUGCAGUCAGGUUUCUAUUUAUAUUUUAGAACAUGCGUCACACCCUCGCCCACCCGCAUGAGCAGCUGCCUGUGGGAGUGGGAACGAGCCUGUGGAAACUGGCUCGGCAGCUCCAGAGCCGGGCAUCGCACCUGCGGGGUGGCCACGUGGUCCUCCCUCUAGAUGCACACACUCUGCGGAGGCAAAACAUACAAGCUCCCCGAGCAGCCCCAGAACCGGAAACCACCCACAGCCCCGGAACCGGAAACCACCCACAGCCCCAGAACCGGAAACCGCCCACAGCUUCUGCUCCAGAGCGAGGACCCUUGCGCCGCAGCAGACCUGUCUCACCUGUGGUCAGAUUUCCACUGCGGAGACGUGGUUUUGGCUCUCUCCAUCUCUGGAAACCGAAGUCAGCUCACAAAUGAGAUGUCACAUGUGUCCGGCAAUGGCGUCACAGGCCUCCUGCGUGCAAAGAAGUUUCCAGAAGGACGUCUGCCCCAGCCCUGCGUGGUCUCGGGCUGCCUGAUGCUGGUUUUAUAGCAAUCAACCCGGGGCCAGAAGUCCGUGCGGAGCCUGCCUGGGAGCCUGCCCGCUGCAGUUGGGAAAUGCAUGCCACAUGCCUGGGAUUCCCAGGGGGCUGGGAAGGAGGCUCUUCCCUGGGGGCCCUGGCUCUUCCUCCACCAGGCUUAUCUCCUUUCAUGCCAAUAAAAAAGAAAUAUUUGCAGCAAUAAUAAAAUAGGACCGGGGAUUAACUGUGUUCCUCCCUUGAAUAUUAGGAAAAUGUUUGCCUGCCAGAGAAGCAACCAGGGAUUAAAGAGCUCCCUGCUGGAGACGUGGGGCUGGGAGCAAAGAGGUUGGACAUCCU